UUCAAUUGAUAUGGCUCAGUCUGUAGAGCAUGAGACUCUUAAUCUUAUGGUCAUGGGUUUGAGCCCCAUGUUGGGUGAAA